CCCUUAGAUGUUCUGGGCCGCACGCGCGCUACACUGACGGAUUCAACGAGCUUACAACCUUGGCCGAAAGGUCUGGGUAAUCUUCAAAAUCCGUCGUGAUGGGGAUAGAUUAUUGCAAUUAUUAAUCUUCAACGAGGAAUUCCCAGUAAGCGCGAGUCAUCAGCUCGCGUUGAUUACGUCCCUGCCCUUUGUACACACCGCCCGUCGCUACUACCGAUUGGAUGGUUUAGUGAGACCCUCGGAUCGGUCCCGACUCGGGGUGGGCUUCUGCCCCGGUCGUGGUUUCGCCGAGAAGACGGUCAAACUUGACUAUCUAGAGGAAGUAAAAGUCGUAACA
rnacentral:rRNA from 1 species